UUCGAGUGGCGGACGGGUGAGUAACGCGUGGGUAACCUGCCUUACACAGGGGGAUAACACCUGGAAACAGGUGCUAAUACCGCAUAAGCGCACAGGGCCGCAUGGCCCGGUGUGAAAAACUCCGGUGGUGUAAGAUGGACCCGCGUCUGAUUAGCUUGUUGGCGGGGUAGGGGCCCACCAAGGCGACGAUCAGUAGCCGGCCUGAGAGGGUGGACGGCCACAUUGGGACUGAGACACGGCCCAAACUCCUACGGAAGGCAGCA
rnacentral:rRNA from 1 species